UCCGUACAUAAAUUUUUUCUUGAUUGAAGAGUUAUAUUAUAAUAUAGAAGGAAGGACAUCAUUAGUCCUAUAUUAAUUGUGAAUUAAGAGAGACUUUGACUUAUAUAGGAAGAAUCAGAACGGACAAUACCUCAUAUGUCGAAUCAUGAGCCCUUGACCGCAAAGAUAUGUAUUAGUCUAGUUGGCUCCAAAUAAGAUCAGCCUCAUGCACAUUUUGAUGGUCUAUC
rnacentral:lncRNA from 1 species